GCGUAAGCGCGUGCAGGUGGCUUCGUAAGUUGGACGUUAAAUCUUUCGGCUUAACCGGGAGUGGUCGUUCAAUACCGCGGGGCUUGAGGGCAGAAGAGGGGGGCGGAAUUGCCGGUGUAGUGGUGAAAUGCGUAGAUAUCGGCAGGAACACCUGUGGCGAAAGCGGCCCCCUGGUCUGCUCCUGACACUCAGACGCGAAAGCCAGGGUAGCGAACGGGAUUAGAAACCCCGGUAGUCCUGGCCGUAAACGAUGGAUGCUAGGUGUGGGUGGUAUUGACCCCAUCCGUGCCGAAGCCAACGCGUUAAGCAUCCCGCCUGGGGACUACGGCCGCAAGGUUAAAACUCAAAGGAAUUGACGGGGACCCGCACAAGCAGCGGAGCGUGUGGUUUAAUUCGAUGCUACACGAAGAACCUUACCCAGGUUUGACAUGCAGGUAGUAGUGAAGCGAAAGCGGAACGACUCGCAAGAGAGCCUGCACAGGUGCUGCAUGGCUGUCGUCAGCUCGUGCCGUGAGGUGUUUGGUUAAGUCCACUAACGAGCGCAACCCCUGUCGUCAGUUACAUGUGUCUGAUGAGACUGCCGGCCUUAAGCCGGAGGAAGGUGGGGAUGAUGUCAAGUCAGCAUGGCCUUUAUAUCUGGGGCUACACACACGCUACAAUGGCCGGUACAAUGGGUUGCCAACCCGCGAGGGGGAGCUAAUCCUCUAAAGCCGGUCUCAGUUCGGAUUGUAGGCUGCAACCCGCCUGCAUGAAGCCGGAGUUGCUAGUAAACGCGCGUCAGCUAUAGUGCGUUGAAUACGUUCCCGGGUCUUGUACACACCGCCCGUCACGUCAUGGGAGCUGGCAACACCUGAAGCCGCUACGCUAACCGCAAGGGGGCAGGCGUCGAGGGUGGGGCUGGUGACUGGGACGAAGUCGUAACAAGGUAACC
rnacentral:rRNA from 1 species